rnacentral:rRNA from 1 species
AACGAACGCUGGCGGCAGGCCUAACACAUGCAAGUCGAGCGAGGACUUCGGUCCUAGCGGCGGACGGGUGAGUAACGCGUGGGAACGUGCCCUUUGGUACGGAAUAGCCCCGGGAAACUGGGAGUAAUACCGUAUGGUGUCUUCGGACUAAAGAUUUAUCGCCAAAGGAUCGGCCCGCGUUGGAUUAGGUAGUUGGUGGGGUAAUGGCCUACCAAGCCGACGAUCCAUAGCUGGUCUGAGAGGAUGAUCAGCCACACUGGCACUGAGAUACGGGCCAGACUCCUACGGGAGGCAGCAGUGAGGAAUAUUGCGCAAUGGGCGAAAGCCUGACGCAGCGACGCCGCGUGGGGGAUGAAGGUUUUCGGAUUGUAAACCCCUUUCAUGAGGAAAGAUAAAGUGGGUAACCACUUAGACGGUACCUCAAGAAGAAGCCACGGCUAACUUCGUGCCAGCAGCCGCGGUAAAGUCGUACG